GUCUUCAAAUGGAUAGAAACAAGUGCCUGUGAUUUGAAUUUAUACCAAUAUCAAGGGUACAACUGAUAUGUCACCUGGGUAAGUAAGGUACAUGUACCUAUAGAACAAGUCAAUUAUCCAAUAAUCUUAAAAACUAUAGCACAGUUUGUUAUUAUUCCGUGACAAUAAACAAUAAUUUGGUUUGCACGACACUUUGACCAUGUCCCCUCCUUUUUAAAUAAGGUUUUGGGAAUAAAAUAUAUUGGGCAUGCAUAUCAGAUUAAUCAUAAAAAGUAAAUUGAUUGUGUAAGGUUAUGUAAUAUAUAAUGAUCUAUAUUAAAGUAAUGCGGUUACCAAAUCGAAAAUCAUGUUGAAUUUGAAGUGUGUUCUUCUUUUGGGAUUUGAAAAUCCCGCAACAUGACGACUUAAACAUUGCUAUAAUAGAAAACACUCGAGACAACCGAAAGGUGCACGGUCGCACUAAAUACCAAUAAUAUGUUAUUAAGCCAAAUAAAAUAAUGUAUCCUAAUUGAUAGAUUGAUAUGAUGCGUAUAUAAUAUAAUUGUUUAAAAGAUGUGAAUAACAGAAUAAAUGACAGACACAUG
rnacentral:lncRNA from 1 species